GAACUGAAGAGUUUGAUCAUGGCUCAGAUUGAACGCUGGCGGCAGGCCUAACACAUGCAAGUCGAGCGGAUGAAGGGAGCUUGCUCCUGGAUUCAGCGGCGGACGGGUGAGUAAUGCCUAGGAAUCUGCCUGGUAGUGGGGGAUAACGUCCGGAAACGGGCGCUAAUACCGCAUACGUCCUGAGGGAGAAAGUGGGGGAUCUUCGGACCUCACGCUAUCAGAUGAGCCUAGGUCGGAUUAGCUAGUUGGUGGGGUAAAGGCCUACCAAGGCGACGAUCCGUAACUGGUCUGAGAGGAUGAUCAGUCACACUGGAACUGAGACACGGUCCAGACUCCUACGGGAGGCAGCAGUGGGGAAUAUUGGACAAUGGGCGAAAGCCUGAUCCAGCCAUGCCGCGUGUGUGAAGAAGGUCUUCGGAUUGUAAAGCACUUUAAGUUGGGAGGAAGGGCAGUAAGUUAAUACCUUGCUGUUUUGACGUUACCAACAGAAUAAGCACCGGCUAACUUCGUGCCAGCAGCCGCGGUAAUACGAAGGGUGCAAGCGUUAAUCGGAAUUACUGGGCGUAAAGCGCGCGUAGGUGGUUCAGCAAGUUGGAUGUGAAAUCCCCGGGCUCAACCUGGGAACUGCAUCCAAAACUACUGAGCUAGAGUACGGUAGAGGGUGGUGGAAUUUCCUGUGUAGCGGUGAAAUGCGUAGAUAUAGGAAGGAACACCAGUGGCGAAGGCGACCACCUGGACUGAUACUGACACUGAGGUGCGAAAGCGUGGGGAGCAAACAGGAUUAGAUACCCUGGUAGUCCACGCCGUAAACGAUGUCGACUAGCCGUUGGGAUCCUUGAGAUCUUAGUGGCGCAGCUAACGCGAUAAGU
rnacentral:rRNA from 1 species